GACGAACGCUGGCGGCGUGCCUAAUACAUGCAAGUAGAACGCACAGUUUAUACCGUAGCUUGCUACACCAUAGACUGUGAGUUGCGAACGGGUGAGUAACGCGUAGGUAACCUGCCUGGUAGCGGGGGAUAACUAUUGGAAACGAUAGCUAAUACCGCAUAAUAUUGAUUAUUGCAUGAUAAUUGAUUGAAAGAUGCUAUUGCAUCACUACCAGAUGGACCUGCGUUGUAUUAGCUAGUAGGUGAGGUAACGGCUCACCUAGGCGACGAUACAUAGCCGACCUGAGAGGGUGAUCGGCCACACUGGGACUGAGACACGGCCCAGAAUCCUACGGGAGGCAGCAGUAGGGAAUCUUCGGCAAUGGACGAAAGUCUGACCGAGCAACGCCGCGUGAGUGAAGAAGGUUUUCGGAUCGUAAAGCUCUGUUGUAAGAGAAGAACGGGUGUGAGAGUGGAAAGUUCACACUGUGACGGUAUCUUACCAGAAAGGGACGGCUAACUACGUG
rnacentral:rRNA from 1 species